GAACUAGCUCUUGUAGACCAUACUGGCCUCGAACUCACAGAGAUCCACCUGCUCCUGAUAAUCGUACUCUGAUAGAGAAGCAAUGGGGUAAUUUUUGUGCAUGUCUGUGUGUAGAGAUUGAAGACACUGACUGUUUACAUUCUUAGGUUUUUGAAACAGCUUUUCUCUGUAUCCCAGGCUAUGUCCUGGAACUUGAGAUCUUCCUGCCUCAGCCUCCUACCACACAGGACGCAGGAGUUGUACUUAGGGCCAGGCCCUGUGCUGAGUCAAAGGAGUGUGCAACACUAAGCCACAAACACUAAGUUUGGGGGAGUUCCUUAUAUAGCAACUGAAACAUACAGCUGGGGGGGGGGACAGAAAAGAACCUUCUGGAAUGAGGAGACAGUACACAAAAGUCAUAAAGUAUCUUAGAACCCCACAUUGGAGGGCUUCGGAUGCACUUCAGUGUUAGGAUGGGUAUGGCAAAACCCUGGAUUUCCUCUCCAGCACCACACACAUACACGUGUGCACACGGAUCCCUCUUGGUAGCCAACCCAAAUGGCUCACUUCUAGACAGUAAUUUCUUGUUUAGGGCUAAUAUUUUCCUCCUUUGAAGCUUUCAGCAUGAUCUGCAGGACUCUGCCUUCUGCCUCUCUAGCAGAACUUACAAGGACACCACACACACACACACACACACACACACACACACACACACACACCAGCUUGGCUGAGCCCCUCCUGCAGCCAGGUUUUGCAUAGCUGUUCAGGGAAGGCUGCCAUUCCCCAUCUCUUACUGGUCAGCUGACCACAUCUGUGUGAGGCCAAGGGCUGGCUCAGGGAAACAGUGGGUCCUCUUGACCACUGACGUCAGGUGAUGAGCCCCAGAGUCACCCAGGGGCAGCUUCCAGUUCUGUGGAGAGUAUUUCACAUUAGCCUUCGGGAGCGAAGAACAACAGACAUCAUCUCUGAGCACGCACAGUGUGGCAGCGUGUUCAAAGUCCCCUGAGGAAUGUGCCAUCUCCUCCUGAAAGAGCACUGUGCUUUCCUGAGGGAUGACUGGAUGACCGAGAACCUUGUCAAGAGAGGAGGUCAAGGUCAGCUGUUUCUGGAAGAGGCGCCUGCUGCUGGUCCUCUGCGGCCUCUUGACCCCAGGUGCACAUCAGCUCCCCCUUCACAGUCAGGACUGUGAUUUCCAGGCCCCGUGGACUUAGUUACCAUCCUGGGAUGGAGGGACCCUGACCCAUGACAUCGGGAGAUGUGACCCCAGAGGUCACACGAGAAACAACAGAGGCAAACAAGCUGAAGGAAGAGACAGUGAUGGCUCUUCUGUCACUCCGAAAAGGGUACCGCUGGGAAGGAUGCUGAUCAAGCCCUGCCCCAUGCUGCUCACAUCAGAACUGUAAGUGUUGACAAUCACAGACUUACAGAUUUUGAGGCUCCCCCUGCCAGAAUCAGACAGGUGCCAUGAAGGGUCCCAUAUCUGCCUGGCCUAGUCCGUCACCGUGUGGCAAGUGUCCCAGCCGAGGAGGCAACUCAGGAGCAACAGUGUUCUGAGUGGUGCUUUAUAGAAACAGGAGGGGCAGGGGCGAGGAGAUGCUUGGUCAGCGAAGCGCAUGCUGCACAACCAUGAGGGUCUGAGCUUGAAUCCCCAGUGUCGUAAAAAGCCAGGAGUGGAGUCACAUGGAUCCCUGGGGCGCAGUGACCAGACAGUCUCACUGCAGGCCUCUGUGACCUUCACAUGUGUGACCUUCACUCUGUGACCUUCACACACACACACACACACACACACGCACGCACAUGCACGCACACACGCACACGCACGCACACACGCACACACACAACAAGACAAGAAAAGAAAAGAAAACCCAGGAGGGGAAGCAAAUGAAAGCCUCAGAGCCCUUGCUCCUGUCUCUAUGGCACCCAUACUGUUUAAAGUGCUGGCCUGAUCAGUUACUAGUGGUCCAUAAUUAUUUAUCUUCUUUUUAGUUUUUUGAGAAAAGGUCUCAGUAGCCCAGGCUGGCCUUGAACUUGAUGAGUAGCUGAGGAUGACCUUGAACUUCUGAUGCCACACGUACCUGCUUCCCCUGUGCUGGGGUUAUGGGUAUUUGUGGUACUGGGGAUGAAGUCCAGAGCUUCAUGCAUUCUGGGCAAGCUACCAGUUAACCACAUUCCCAGCUCCGCGUCGAGGUCCCUUUAGCCACUCUAUGGUUUGUGCCUUUCUGAGAGCCCCAUUCUGCCCAUGACCAAGUGACAUGGUGGAGCUGGGGUUUGAACCAGGCAGUCCCAUGGGUCCUCCUGACACAGAGUCCUACACUAGAGAGAUAUGGACAUCUCUGAGAGGGUGCUGUCACCAGGAGACACUUGGAAACAAAGGGACCUUUUUCUUUCCUGUUUGGCAGCAAAUGCAAGCAUGCUUCCACAGGCGUGCCCUGGCCUGAGGCUCCAGAACGUGGACGUGGCUGUCCCUGGAGACCUGCCUUUGGUGGCUUCAGAGGGUCUGGGCCCAGUCACUGGCCAGGCAGCUCUCUGUGUUCACCACGGAACCAAGUUCACAUCCUUCACACUGGGGAGCAGACAGCUGCGUGAAGCUCAAACCCAGGGUUUCCCCUCAUCAGUUUCUAGGCUGUAGGGGUUGUCCACACAGGAGGAGAGUGGGGUGCCAGGCCCCACAGCCUGAAGGCACUGUGAACCCUGAGGUCCUCUAGUACAGGAUACACUCUAGUGGGCCCCCCAGCCUCUCACAAAGAGGACAGGUGGGGACGGUUCACUCUGGUGCUGGAGAAUUUCCUCUUAAGUGCGCUGAGGUCAAACAAAACCAGAGUGAGAGCUAAAGGAGUUGGGCCAAAGCCCUCAAGAUUUCUUCCGGGGUCCAGUUUGAGAACUGUGGCUGAAGCCAGCCCAGGUUCUGGCAGUGUGGCCCCCAGGCUGUGGAACUCCACCUCCCCCACCCCUGCUGCCGGUUCCUGAGGCUGAGUAGUUGGAACCCCUCCCCUCUUCUCUCCUCCCCUGCCCUCCC